CUGAAGCAUGCGGUCUCUCCCUGAAGUGCCUCCUCUAACACAGAUCAGGCAGCUCCGCACGGCUGAACUUUGACUGAUGUCACUUCCUAUUUAAGGAGCAGCUCGGAGCUGCCUGAUCAGGCUUACAGACAGCUCUCCUAGUGUGUUUAUCUUUCAGGCACACUGAGAGGCAUUCUUGUGGGUCUUUGGGUAGGCCCCAUUAGCUGUCUCUCAGUGUACCCUGCUGGGGCUGUGUGGCAGAACAAGGGGAGAGGGGCCGAAAAAGAAGAGAAGUAUUUUGUAGCAGGAGCCCGCGGAGUGCCGUGCGAGCCCCUCACUGACUGCAGGCUGGCUGGGGAGAUUGUUUAACUCCCCAGCCAGCUGUUCCUUUCCUGCA